AUUGAACGCUGGCGGCAUGCUUUACACAUGCAAGUCGGACGGCAGCACAGAGAAGCUUGCUUCUUGGGUGGCGAGUGGCGAACGGGUGAGUAACAUAUCGGAACGUACCGAGCAGUGGGGGAUAACUAAUCGAAAGAUUAGCUAAUACCGCAUAUAUUCUGAGGAAGAAAGCAGGGGACCAUUUGGCCUUGCGCUGUUUGAGCGGCCGAUAUCUGAUUAGCUAGUUGGUGGGGUAAAGGCCUACCAAGGCGACGAUCAGUAGCGGGUCUGAGAGGAUGAUCCGCCACACUGGGACUGAGACACGGCCCAGACUCCUACGGGAGGCAGCAGUGGGGAAUUUUGGACAAUGGGCGCAAGCCUGAUCCAGCCAUGCCGCGUGUCUGAAGAAGGCCUUCGGGUUGUAAAGGACUUUUGUCAGGGAAGAAAAGGGCGGGGUUAAUACCCCUGUCUGAUGACGGUACCUGAAGAAUAAGCAC
rnacentral:rRNA from 1 species